UACGUAGGGUGCGAGCGUUGUCCGGAAUUACUGGGCGUAAAGGGCUCGUAGGUGGCCAACUAAGUCAGACGUGAAAUCCCUCGGCUUAACCGGGGAACUGCGUCUGAUACUGGAUGGCUUGAGUUCGGGAGAGGGAUGCGGAAUUCCAGGUGUAGCGGUGAAAUGCGUAGAGAUCCGGAGGAACACCAGUGGCGAAGGCGACCCGCUGGGUCACACCUGACACUGAGACGCGACAGCAUGGGGAGCGAACGGG
rnacentral:rRNA from 1 species